rnacentral:rRNA from 1 species
UACGAGUGCCUCAAGCGUUAUCCGGAAUCAUUGGGCGUAAAGGGUGUGUAGGCGGUUUUGUUAGUCUAAUGUUAAAGCUUCGGGCUUAACCCGAAAAGUGCAUUGGAAACGGCAAAUCUAGAGGAUGCGAGAGGUGAACAGAACUCAUAGUGUAGGGGUGAAAUCCGUUGAUAUUAUGGGGAAUACCAAAUGCGAAGGCAGUUCACUGGCGCACUCCUGACGCUGAAACACGAAAGCGUGGGUAGCGAAUGGG